rnacentral:rRNA from 1 species
GUGGGGAAUAUUGCGCAAUGGGCGAAAGCCUGACGCAGCGACGCCGCGUGAGGGAUGAAGGUUUUCGGAUCGUAAACCUCUGUCAGAAGGGAAGAAACUACAUUGUGCUAAUCAGCAGUGUACUGACGGUACCUUCAAAGGAAGCACCGGCUAACUCCGUGCCAGCAGCCGCGGUAAUACGGAGGGUGCAAGCGUUAAUCGGAAUUACUGGGCGUAAAGCGCACGUAGGCUGUAGUGUAAGUCAGGGGUGAAAUCCCACGGCUCAACCGUGGAACUGCCUUUGAUACUGCAAAACUUGAAUCCGGGAGAGGGUGGCGGAAUUCCAGGUGUAGGAGUGAAAUCCGUAGAUAUCUGGAGGAACAUCAGUGGCGAAGGCGGCCACCUGGACCGGUAUUGACGCUGAGGUGCGAAAGCGUGGGGAGCAAACGGGAUUAGAAACCCGUGUAGUCC